CUCCUACGGGGCGCAGCAGUAGGGAAUCUUCCACAAUGGACGAAAGUCUGAUGGAGCAACGCCGCGUGAGUGAAGAAGGGUUUCGGCUCGUAAAGCUCUGUUGGUAGUGAAGAAAGAUAGAGGUAGUAACUGGCCUUUAUUUGACGGUAAUUACUUAGAAAGUCACGGCUAACUACGUGCCAGCAGCCGCGGUAAUACGUAGGUGGCAAGCGUUGUCCGGAUUUAUUGGGCGUAAAGCGAGUGCAGGCGGUUCAAUAAGUCUGAUGUGAAAACCCUCCGGUCAACCGGGAGAUUGCAACAAAAAA
rnacentral:rRNA from 1 species